ensembl:ncRNA F40H6.7 ncRNA
AAAAGCUAUUCGAUCAGGAUGAGAUUCGAACUCACGCGGGGAAACCCCAAUGGAUUAGCAGUCCAUCGCCUUAACCACUCGGCCACCUGAUCACG